CCUACGGGAGGCAGCAGUGAGGAAUAUUGGUCAAUGGGCGCAAGCCUGAACCAGCCAUGUCGCGUGAAGGAUGACUGCCCUACGGGUUGUAAACUUCUUUUAUAAGGGGAUAAAGUGAGGCACGUGUGCCUGUCUGUAGGUACUUUAUGAAUAAGGAUCGGCUAACUCCGUGCCAGCAGCCGCGGUAAUACGGAGGAUCCAAGCGUUAUCCGGAUUUAUUGGGUUUAAAGGGAGCGUAGGUGGGUGGUUAAGUCAGGUGUGAAAGCCUGCGGCUAAACGGUUAAAUUGCCAUUGAUACUGGCUGGCUUGAGUGCAGUUGCGGUAGGCGGAAUGUGUGGUGUAGCGGUGAAAUGCUUAGAUAUCACACAGAACUCCGAUUGCGAAGGCAGCCUACGAAUCUGCGACUGACGUUGAUGCUCGAAAGCGUGGGUAUCAAACAGGAUUAGAUACCCGAGUAGUC
rnacentral:rRNA from 1 species